rnacentral:rRNA from 1 species
AGCAGCCGCGGUAAUUCCAGCUCCAAUAGCGUAUAUUAAAGUUGCUGCAGUUAAAAAGCUCGUAGUUGAAUUUCGGGACCAAUAUGUCGGUCGUGCCUCGGUACGUACUGGCAUCGUUGGUUUCUCCCUUCUGAUGAGCCGUAAUGCCAUUAAUUUGGUGUUGCGAGGAAUCUGGACUGUUACUUUGAAAAAAUUAGAGUGUUUAAAGCAGGCUAACGCUUGAAUACAUUAGCAUGGAAUAAUGAAAUAGGACGUUCGAUCUUAUUUUGUUGGUUUCUAAGAUUGACGUAAUGAUUAAUAGGGAUAGUUGGGGGCAUUAGUAUUCAAUUGUCAGAGGUGAAAUUCUUGGAUUUAUUGAAGACUAACUACUGCGAAAGCAUUUGCCAAGGAUGUUUUCAUUAAUCAAGAACGAAAGUUAGGGGAUCGAAGACGAUCAGAUACCGUCGUAGUCUUAACCAUAAACUAUGCCGACUAGGGAUCGGAUGAUGUUAAUUUUUUAAUGACUCAUUCGGCGCCUUACG